rnacentral:rRNA from 1 species
CCUACGGGAGGCAGCAGUGGGGAAUAUUGCACAAUGGGCGCAAGCCUGAUGCAGCCAUGCCGCGUGUAUGAAGAAGGCCUUCGGGUUGUAAAGUACUUUCAGCGGGGAGGAAGGGGUUAAGGUUAAUAACCUUAGCCAUUGACGUUACCCGCAGAAGAAGCACCGGCUAACUCCGUGCCAGCAGCCGCGGUAAUACGGAGGGUGCAAGCGUUAAUCGGAAUUACUGGGCGUAAAGCGCACGCAGGCGGUCUGUCAAGUCGGAUGUGAAAUCCCCGGGCUCAACCUGGGAACUGCAUUCGAAACUGGCAGGCUUGAGUCUCGUAGAGGGGGGUAGAAUUCCAGGUGUAGCGGUGAAAUGCGUAGAGAUCUGGAGGAAUACCGGUGGCGAAGGCGGCCCCCUGGACGAAGACUGACGCUCAGGUGCGAAAGCGUGGGGAGCA